CACACGGUCUGCUACCGCUGCGAAAAGAUCUCUUUUCAUCUCUGCUCAUCCCUUGAUCUUGUGCAGCAUGCUGUUCACGAUCUGAACCAGCACGCGUGUGAUCAACCGUGUGUGAUGCGUUUAGCGUCAGACCGGAAGAGCCCGGGGUCAAGAGCUCAAACAGGCACCAGCCUCCAGCCUCCAGUCAACAGAUCAACAGCGGCUGACAGACGAUGAUCUCUAACAGUCAGCGACAGUCAAAUCAGCUGCUGUCAAUCAUGAAGCCUAUUGAGAAAAGUCUCUUGCAGGAGGACAGGCUUGGAGGGCAGCCAAACAGACCUCUCAGGAAACAUCCACACCAGGAGAUGUAAAUCUAGGGCUGUAAAGAUCCUUAAAGACCCCACCCACCCUGGAAAUCCACUGUUUCAUCUGCUACAGUCAGGCAGACGCUUCCGCAGUCUGAUGGCAAAAACGGAGAGGCUCAGGAGGAGUUUCUUACCUCACGCUAUCAGACUACUAAACAAUGGACAUUAAACACACUACACUUUAGAGACUCUGGUAGUGUAGGGUACCCAGUAACUCUCUGCACACUGCACUUUUUUAUGACACCUAACUAUGCAACUCAUCUGCAUAUUGUUUACAUCUCUGCACAUCAUCUGUAUAGCAGUUCUUGUAGCAUCGCUACACAGAAUCUGUGUAGUAGUUUAAUAUAUUGUGUAUAUUUCAUUAUUUGUAUUUAAUUAUCU